rnacentral:rRNA from 1 species
AUUGAACGCUGGCGGCAUGCCUUACACAUGCAAGUCGAACGGCAGCACGGGUGCUUGCUCCUGGUGGCGAGUGGCGAACGGGUGAGUAAUACAUCGGUACACGUCCUGUAGUGGGGGGUAGACCGGCGAAAGCCGGGUUAAUACCCCAUACGAUCCACGGAUGAAAGCGGGGGACCUUGGGGCCUCCCGCUGUUGGGUUGGGCGUUGGCUGAUUAGCUCGUUGGUGGGGUAAAGGCCUACCAAGACGACGAUUAGUAGCUGGGCGGAGAGGAGGACCAGCCACACUGGGACGGAGCCACGGCCCAGACUCCUACGGGAGGCAGCAGUGGGGAACGUUGGACAAUGGGCGAAAGCCUGACCCAGCAAUGCCGAGUGUGUGAAGAAGGCCUUCGGGUUGUAAAGCACGUUUGUGCGGAAAGAAACCCUUGACUCUAUGACAGUCGGGGGAUGACGGUACCGGAUGAAUAAGCACCGGCUAACUACGUG